CUUGGCAAACAUUAAGCAUCGAUUUCAAACUCACACAGAGCGUAAAGACCAGCACGAAAGAAUCGAUAGAUGGGAGAAUUGCGUGAAAAAAAAAAUAAGAGACUAGAUCCCAGGUGGCUCUUCACUCGUUGCGCCAGUUUUGUUUUCUAUUCGUGAGUGCUCCGCUCCAUCGAGUCCGUGACAGUCUGUUACAUUUGCUUAACUUUUAGUCGCCGCAAGAUGCUAGAAAUGAUCUUGGUUCGUAUUUUUUUGGCACAGCAAUUGCCUUUGGGACAAUUAAAUCUGACAGAGAAAUGGCGUUGUUCCAGUGACAUGGCAGGCUGCCCUCCCUAGUUGCUUCCCGUAUGCAAUGAAUUAUUUACUGAAUCUCAUCCAAUCUUCUUUAGCAUUGCGAUCAAUAAAUUAACACUACUUGAAAAGGACGUGAUAUUCUGGCUGGAGUGAAAAGCCCGCUUGUGCUCUCAACUUCAGAGCUAGGCAGUGUGAAACAAAGCAUAGUUCCGUUCCUUUGCAUCCCUUUUUUUUCUCUCUGUGGAGGAGAGGGCGUUCGUGUUUCGAAUGGUAAAUAGAGGCCACAACAUAUGGUUUGGAUCAAUAGUGUGGUAAACAGCAAUCAAGCUACAGUUUCAAGCAAUUCUAGCGAUGAUUAUGAUUAGCCUAGCUAUCUGAAGUGUAUCUUGGCCACUCUCCACAAUUUGUUACAUUAUGUAUGGACUUUGAUACGUUGAACGGAUUACACCGCGUGAAUAGGACGGCAGGGGACACGGUUGUUCAAAUAGAGAUUUAUCUAACGUGAUAAAGCCGAUGAAUGCGGCCUGCUCAGGGAUCUUUGUUUUGUUAAUAACAUCACCGGACGAUGCAUAAAGAAGGCUACGUGAAUGAAUAUGAGCGAUGGCAAUUCACAAUGUUUUGAGUGGGCCUAUAGCUGAAGUUUUCUUCAGAUCAUUUCAAAAGCCUCCACAUUUGGAUCGAUGAAUCCAUCAUUUGUCUGGCGAGAAUGGAAUUCAGCGCACAUUCUCAGUUAGUUUUUCAUGGUAUGGUGGGAAUCAGCAGUAGACUAUAGACUGCGAUAAAUAGUACGUACGUGAAGCACGUUACGUAUAUAUCAUAUUGUAUAUUCAGCCUAAAAGCCCUGUGUGUUUUGUGACAGUUUCACCAACUCCCUCGCUAACUUCUCAUCCACUAGCGAGGGAUCGUAAAUCACAAAUAUGCCGCAGUCGCUGAAGGCUGUACAAAAAAAAUAAGGAAGAAUGACGACAAAACUUUGGGUUUAUGCGAGGAAACUGAACGGCUAGAAAAAGGCAUUUAUGCAUUGGAUUAAGUCUCCUUUGUUGUGCUAUGUGUAUGCCAGGCUUAAGGCGAUCGGCCAAGCCCAAAAAUUCAAUCCUUCGCUAAACAAAAAUUACUGGGGAAAAUAAAACACAAGUCAGACAUUACGGAAGCAACAGUUAAGAGUGCGCGGGAAUAGAGGUAAUCGACCGCAUGUGGCGCAAUGCGUCAAAUGCGAAAGCCGUCUCAUCAUAAUAGCACGACAUGACUGCGGCUGCCGUCAACCGCUCGGGAUGGAUGGUUCACGUGGUAACAAUGUUUUUCUUCGUAUUUUGCUCAGUUAAAAAAUAUCAACUUAUCUAUACUAGCGACUUUUGCUACUAACAUACACUUAUGGAAUAAAUGAUGUUUUCAUAGUA
rnacentral:lncRNA from 1 species